UGAGUAAUCUGCCCUCCACUUUGGGAUAGCCACCGGAAACGGUGAUUAAUACCGGAUAUGACUCGUGCCCGCAUGGGUGUGGGUGGAAAGUUUUUCGGUGGGGGAUGUGCUCGCGGCCUAUCAGCUUGAUGGUGGGGUAAUGGCCUACCAUGGCUUCGACGGGUAGCCGGCCUGAGAGGGUGACCGGCCACACUGGGACUGAGACACGGCCCAGACUCCUACGGGAG
rnacentral:rRNA from 1 species